rnacentral:rRNA from 1 species
AACGAACGCUGGCGGCAGGCUUAACACAUGCAAGUCGAGCGCAUCCUUCGGGGUGAGCGGCAGACGGGUGAGUAACGCGUGGGAACGUACCCUUUGCUACGGAAUAGCUCCGGGAAACUGGAAUUAAUACCGUAUGUGCCCUUCGGGGGAAAGAUUUAUCGGCAAAGGAUCGGCCCGCGUUGGAUUAGCUAGUUGGUGGGGUAAAGGCCUACCAAGGCGACGAUCCAUAGCUGGUCUGAGAGGAUGAUCAGCCACAUUGGGACUGAGACACGGCCCAAAAUCCUACGGGAGGCAGCAGUGGGGAAUAUUGGACAAUGGGCGCAAGCCUGAUCCAGCCAUGCCGCGUGAGUGAUGAAGGCCUUAGGGUUGUAAAGCUCUUUCGACGGUGAAGAUAAUGACGGUAACCGUAGAAGAAGCCCCGGCUAACUUCGUGCCAGCAGCCGCCGUAA